AAGACAUGCAAGAAACCCCCUCUCCUCUCCCUCCGCCUCCCUACCUCCCCCACACUUCAACGCCACGUCCCUCCUCAUCCUUAUUUCCUUCUCCAAUUCCUCCCCUAUUCCUCCUAUCCCUAGAAUGAUUGCCUCGGGAUAACAUCUCCCUCUCAGGCCCGCUCCCAAUUUCCCCAUUCCUUAUUCUCCAGUUGUCCACCCUCCUCUCGUGAAGGCCUCGUUUGAGGGAUUUUGAAAGGGAUCGAGAUGGAAGAGACGGUCCCGGACCAGCCCAACGACCGGGCCUUCUUGUCCACCGCUUUGACGCCAGAGGCAACGCCGGAGCACCCCAUUGAGGAUGGCGCGGCGGCGGCGAUGGCGAAGAGCCCGUACCUGAGCCGCGUCGUUAUCGGGGAUGUCCCAGUGCUCGUCGCCGCUCGCCCGGCUCCGGAAGCUGGGUUACGUGCGGAGCAACAGCUUCCAGCGGUGACGUCGGCAGAUGCAGCGGGCAUGGAGGUGGGGCCCCGGCGGCAAACAACAGCAACAGCUACAAUAAUAGCAGUAGUAGGGAGCAGGGUUUCAAGACGAUUUUGAGUUUGGAAGUGAUGGCUGAUCAGAAGCAGCAGUGGUAUCGGAUCUGGCUCCUGAGUGCUUUAAAGUGCCGUCGGAAACCCUUUGAUUGUUUCUCUUUUUGAAACGCGUCGGCAUUUUUAAUUACCUUUCUUUUUAUUUUUUUUAUUAUUUUUUGCUUUAUUUGCCAAGAAACCAUUUUUAGGUUGUAAUCUUGAAAGAACGAAGUGGUGUGAGAUGCGAACUAGGGAAGAUUUAAUUACAAUUCAAGGCCUUAGUGCUCGGAUUGCAGGUUUGGAGAUUUGUUGUUUAUAUGGAGUGCGAUUUUUGUUCGAGUUGCUAGGAACACGAGGUCUCAGUCAAAGUUUGUGGUUUUUAGAUGAUCUAAUAAUGCUAUUCUUGUCAAAGAGUGGGUGAACUAGGCAUGAGUGCUUGGUGUCCUUAAGAUUGACACAUGCUGUUGACUGAAGGGAAUAUUAUUCUAGACAAAAUUUGUGCGCUUCAAGGUAUUGUACCGUACAAAGUACUUAGCACUGAUGAGGUUGAUGAUAUGGAGACUUGAUGAACCACAAAAAAGAAAUGGAUGAGGUGGGACAAAGAAUAGUAAGCGAGGUCAGGUAUUGGAAAGGAACUUUUGUAAUUGCAACAACAAAGGAUGAAAAGAUGGAGAAUUUGUGGAUGACAUAGUUAUUUGCAACAAUGAAUAUGGAAGCCCUAGUAAUAUGUGCUAGUUUAGGAAAGGUGAAGGGAAUCUUAGAAAAGCUUGAACAAAUUUCUACGUUGGACUUUGAAAUGCUUGCUCUAUCUGGGGAUAUAGUCAUCAAAACAAAAAAACAAAGACAACUUGGCUUACUUAAGCUGCCACCAAUAAUGGAUUAAGAUAAUUUUGACCAUUCAUUUUCUUUUUGUAGAAUAUAUUUGUGGAUCAUCAUAAUAUUUCACUUGACACGAUUUGAAGGAUCAGAGAGUUGCUUUAUUGUCUUAAUUGAUUUGAGCAUAAUUCUUUUAUACUCAUCUAUUUAUUUGCAUCUGUAUGCCAUCUUAAAAUAUUUAAACAUUGGUUAAGGAGGAUAACUUGGAGUGAUCUAGUGUACCUAUAAUUUGCUCACAAAUGGUCCACUUCCUUAAAACUACAUUUAUUAUAUAAACCAGAAACAUCUGAACAUGCUAAAUGAGCACAUGAUGCAUGUAAAUAUUUAUUUUCACUAACAUAUCACAUGUACACAAUGCCCAAUGGUAUUUUAAUGUAUGCAUAUUAUAACAUAAUGAUGGCAUCUCCUCCACAUCAAUAAGUAGAAUUAACUUGCCAUCAGGGGUUUAAAUGUUGUUUGGCAUGAUUUGAACAUGAUAUGUAUGGUCAAGACCGGCAUGGUACCGGUUAUGUGCCAUUACCUACCAUAUCGCUGUGCUAGAGUGUGCCAAGUGUGCCAAGCAUUAGCACGUGGGGCUGUCAACGGGUUGGAUUUGGGUUGGAUCUAUGCUAUAUCCUUAUCUAAACCCGGUAAGAAAAGUCGAGUUCUGAUUUAGGUUUGGAUCCAUCAAAAUUAGUGGGCUUCAAACUCUCAUCUAAACUCGAUUAGUAAUUUGAUUCGAGUUUGGAUUAAGUUUUUUUGUGGUUCAAUCUGACACAUGAUUUUCAUGGGCCAACUAGCCAAGGGUUAACAGUUUCCAAAACUACAAAGACUCUUAUCAUAAUAGUUUGUGCCAUAUUACAAUAUAAAAGGAGCACGAUAUGAGCAGUAAAUUCUUGGGUUUUAAAAAUAUUUAAUCACUUUUCUAACUGAUUUAAAUUUUUAUGUAUGUUUUGUUUGAUUGAAACUUAAUCAAAAUCUAAAUGUUGGUUGGGAUUUUAGAACUAAAAUAGCAACAAGUGUGAGUUAAGGAGCGCAUGCAUGAGAAAGGUGCAAUUCCAAAUAUGAAGAAAAAGAAUUAACACAAAUAAUGUAGCAAAUUUUCUUUAGAUUUUUACAUUUAUAUAUACUACAUACAUAGUUUGUUUUCGGUAUUCAGGUUAUUAUGUUUUCAAAUUUGACAUAGUUAAAUCUGAGUUUGAUCCAAUAAGAAAUAAGUUCCUAUAUAUAGAAUUUGAAUUCAAUCCUAUAAGGUUAUCAAAAACUUAAUUUGAACCUUUACCUGAUUAUUAUAAAAUAAUUGGGUCGGGUUACUGAGUUUUCAAGUAUCAUUUACACCCCUAUUGACACAGAACAUACAAUGCCAGUGCUAGGGGCUGGCCCACAACUGGCUUGCAACAUUUGAAUCCAAACAAUACCUUUUGGCUAGCUUUUUUGGGUGAGGUCUUGUGUUGUUAUAGUGCGUGGAGACAAAGAUGAAGCCUUGAAGCCUUAGAUAAAGGAGAGGAUGAACAAUCUGAAGCCUCCCAUACAGAGAUAGAAGCAGUGGUAAGAUGAAGAAUGUUCAUGUGCUGUAGUUGAUUAUGUCUGUUUUGGUCCAAUCAUUGUUGUGGUGUGGUCACUGCAUGAAAAUUCAUGAGUAAUUAAAUGAAUUCUGUGAUGACAGCAUAUGAUUAUAUUUCAUAAGAAGUCGAGGCACUAUAACUUAAAGGUGAUGUGUAGGAAAUAUUUUAAGAAGUUUAUUAUAUGUGUGCUGAAAUAGAAGAAGGGCUUCUAAAGCCAAUGACUCCUUAAUUCAGGAUUAUUAGAACAGGCAAAACUUAAGAUCUAGUUGGAUGAGGGUUGGGGGACAGGAUUCUAACUUGAGAGGUUCAUAACAAAACCAGGAUCCAUGAUGCUGUUUCCAUGUUGAUGCGGUAAGGAUAAUGCAGUGAGGCUAUUGUUUUGCUGUUGUGGCUUCCCAUAGAACAUGUACUCUUAGAAAUUAGCUAAAAGAGUGGGAAGCAAUCUCAUGCGACAAGGUGCUCUUCUCUAACUGUGCUAUACCCUGUCCAGAUGAUACACUUCUAUUUUUGUUACUCUACAUGUAUAAAAACAUUGUCAUUCUUAUUAAGUUGCAAUAGCUAUUAUGGUAAAAUGUGCCAGACUGGCAGAUUGAUUAUUGUAAUUAGGAUGAAGAUACACAGCAAAUUUGUUAGGAUGCCUACAUUCUAGUGGUUGGUACGCCCUGUUGAUAAACUGGCUGAGGAUGAAGUAUGUCCUAUUUCAGAAUUUUUUUUAAUGAAAUUGUGGUUUUCCAUCUGGGCCUUUAUUAAUAUGAUAGGUACUAACCUAUGAGUUUUUCCCUCAUAAAAAAUGUUUUCUUGAAUUCAUCCACUGUUCAUUUUAAAGGAGGCUAUUGCAGUUCUAUCUCUUUGUGCUUUCCUGAGUGCCAAAAGUAAAAGAUGAAUGUAAUGCUAUGUACGACAUUGAUUAUGAAUGAGGUGGACAACUUUUUGUCAUCAUUUAUUAUUGAUAUUCUUGCUCUAGAUGUAUCUGCUAGUUCUUAUAAUUAUAUUCUAUUCCCAGCUGAAAAGGAAAAGAAAAGUUAAAGUGCAGAAUACAUUUAAUGUUCUACAUUCUUGUAGCUAAUGCUCAACUUUUUUAACAUGAUAUAAUGGAUCUCAUGCAUAACAAGAAAAGAAUGCCUGGUCUCUUAGUAUAUAACAGACUUUUUUCCUGCAAUUUUUUUCCAUAUAAAUUGUAUCACAUAUUUGUUGAACUGGAUGAUGCAGGCUCGCUUGAUAGAGAGAACACUAUCUUUGAGUGAUCUAAAUGAAGUUGUUUUUGGACAGGCUGAAGCUGCUGGUCACUUCUUAGGUGUCAUAAGAGGCUACCAGGAAUCCCUUUGUUCUAAUUUUCGGUCUCAUACCAUCACUAAUGUGCAAUCAAAUAAUGAUAAGUGUUGCUGCUCCUUAAAGACAGUUUUAUUGAUGCAUUCCCCAUCAAGGACCAGCCAUUCAUCAAGGUUAUCUACCUUAGGACAUUAAGCCUUCAAGUACAGGAUAUUUUAUUACUUGGAGUAGUACGAACUCUUUGUAGGGAGACAACUGUUUUCUGUUCUGUCAGAUUCUCGGCUUUCCACUUAUGAGCAUGCGUAGUCUUUGGGAACAUACCACACAAUGCAUGAUCGAUCAAGAGCUCUUUUAUAGGACCAAAAGCUGCAGAAUGUGUCGGGCUGCAUGAGCACACACUACCGCUGCUCGGUAUAUUGGUACAUGAUGUUCAUAACUUACAUGCCAUGAAGGUUCCUGCAUGGAGUUUUAUUCCCAGAAAGAAAAUCAGCAUGCUGAUAUUGUAAUAUACCACGGCAAGCCCUAACAGGUGUGGCCGCUUGAGGGCCUUGUGGCCAUAACAAAUGUGAUGCAUCCUGGUCUUUUAAAAUGGGAUGUCACGGCUUAUCUGAGGUCUGCUUGCUUGUCCAUUUAUAAGCUCAUACAAUUCUUACAUUGCUUCUCUACUUGAGAUGUGUUCUUAUUAUUGCAGCUUAGUCCUUGCAAUUUUGCCGAAAUACUUUUGGAAAGGCAGGCAGGAAGGCCUGGCCCGCUAAGCUUAGGGUGCUUUAAGUUCAAACACAAUUUUAUUUCUUUUGUUCAUUUUGUAAAGUUUUAAAGUUGAUGAUUGAUGUAAAAAGGAGAUCAAAACACAGGAAAAAAAAGAUCAUGAAAGGAAUACGUGAAUUUGGAAAUUUAAGGCUUCUAUCUCUUCUCCAGAAAAAAAGGCUUUUAUGAAGUUUUCUAGCCAAUCAUGCA